GACGAACGCUGGCGGCGUGCUUAACACAUGCAAGUCGAACGGUAAGGCCCUUCGGGGUACACGAGUGGCGAACGGGUGAGUAACACGUGGGUGAUCUGCCCUGCACUUCGGGAUAAGCCUGGGAAACUGGGUCUAAUACCGGAUAGGACCCUGGGAUGCAUGUCCUGGGGUGGAAAGCUUUUGGGGUGUGGGAUGGGUCCGCGGCCUAUCAGCUUGUUGGUGGGGUGAUGGCCUACCAAGGCGACGAAGGGUAGCCGGCCUGAGAGGGUGACCGGCCACACUGGGACUGAGAUACGGCCCAGACUCCUACGGGAGGCAGCAGUGGGGAAUAUUGCACAAUGGGCGCAAGCCUGAUGCAGCGACGCCGCGUGAGGGAUGACGGCCUUUGGGUUGUAAACCUCUUUCAGCACCGACGAAGCGCAAGUGACGGUAGGUGCAGAAGAAGGACCGGCCAACUACGUGCCAGCCGCCGCAGUAA
rnacentral:rRNA from 1 species